GGGCGCAAGCCUGAUGCAGCGACGCCGCGUGAGGGAUGACGGCCUUCGGGUUGUAAACCUCUUUCACCAGGGACGAAGCGAAAGUGACGGUACCUGGAGAAGAAGCACCGGCCAACUACGUGCCAGCAGCCGCGGUAAUACGUAGGGUGCGAGCGUUGUCCGGAAUUACUGGGCGUAAAGAGCUCGUAGGCGGUUUGUCGCGUCGUUCGUGAAAACUUGGGGCUUAACUCCAAGCGUGCGGGCGAUACGGGCAGACUUGAGUACUACAGGGGAGACUGGAAUUCCUGGUGUAGCGGUGAAAUGCGCAGAUAUCAGGAGGAACACCGGUGGCGAAGGCGGGUCUCUGGGUAGUAACUGACGCUGAGGAGCGAAAGCGUGGGUAGCGAACAGGAUUAGAUACCCUGGUAGUCCACGCCGUAAACGGUGGGUACUAGGUGUGGGUUCCUUUUCACGGGAUCCGUGCCGUAGCUAACGCAUUAAGUACCCCGCCUG
rnacentral:rRNA from 1 species